GAGGAAACGAUAAUCAACCCGAGUGCGUGGCUGUCUUGACUGUUAUCAAGAAAAUUUUUGAAUUCAAAAAUAAUAACGAACACGUGGUGGAGGAAUACGGGCCGGAGCGAACAAUUGAAGUUUACAUUAAAUAUGGUGAAACUUCUACUGUUGAAAUCGGGAAAAAAUGAGAAUUUCUUACAUGUUUUAUAACUGACCAAUGAUUGUUCAAGCA